CCACAAAAUAGUAUGGCUAUAGCCAUUUUAAGUCUAAGAUAGAACAGUAAUCCUCAGGAUUUGGGAAUUAUAUGAAAUAAGACUGGCAGAUGCCAGUCCCUUUCUGCUGAAGAAACUGGGGCAGCAGUUCACAGUAGAUUGAUCUGAUACCUUUUUGCAUAGAUGUAGACCAGAUAUAACACCAGCUCAGAUAGAGCAGUAAAGGAAUCAUUAGUUAUUUCAUGAGGCUACAUGGCAGCACAGUCACAACUAGUUACUGCCCUCAGCCUGUCCAUAGCUUAUCAUCCUCCCCUCUCCACUGCUACCACCCAAAUCAACAUGCCAGCUGAGAAAAAUGAAAGAACAUUCUCUAACCGAUUUGAGUUUAUAUCAGCCAGGCCAGUUUAAAACAAUUUGUUAGAGGUCCUUGUUAACCCAAGCCAUUUUGAUGAAAAGGUACAGUUCUAGAAGAGCUCAAGCAAAUUUAAAUCAGAGCUACCACAGCCCCAUCUCUAAUGCCUGUUCCUGCUCCGUAUCUCAUUCAAUAGAUGGUCAGCCAGUUCAGAAAGGUGAUCCAGCCAAAACCUAACAAAGCAGAAAAAGCAAUUCAUUAUCAGCCUGAUUAACUCCUGGACUUGGCUUAACUUACAGCUACAAAGACUCCCAUGCCAGCAGGGGAAGAAACAUAGUCAAGAAGGAGGCAGGACCACAGCAGCCUGUUUCUUGAGCCUUUCAAGUUUGUUGAAAGGUUUAAACAAACUUAAAAUAGAGCUUCUUCUGAAAAGAGUGCUCACAGACAUCUCCCUCUCCUCCUGUGUAAGCAAUAACAUUUGCACAGCCACCCAGUCAGCCAGUUCAAGCAGUGGAUCCAACUGAAGCUCAUUACUUUUCCAUAGUACUGUUUUCAGCAGUGUUAGCAAACAGGGGUUGAAAAUGUCAUUUUGGUGAAAGCACUGCCAGAGAAAGCAAAAUUGCUCUGGUGGUAACGCAUUAACGUGGCGGUAGAGCACGCAUGUUAAAAGCCUUAGUUUGAUCAAGUUUAAGCUUGGUCCUCUCUAGAAAAAGACGGACAAUAUCCUCUAGUGUCACAUAUUAAAACUAUAGAUACUUUGUCAGUGCAGGGAUCUCGAUUUUCGAUAAAUGUUCUCUGAUCAAUGAAAACUCUAAAAGCGAGACUAGUGCCACAAUUCCACAUUAGUCUAAACCACUCUUGCUUGCUAAACUGGCAAAAUAAAUAAAUAUCUAAAUAACCA
rnacentral:lncRNA from 1 species